CUAUACUGCAAGUCGAGCGCGGGAAGCAGGCAGAUCCCUUCGGGGUGAAACCUGUGGAACGAGCGGCGGACGGGUGAGUAACACGUGGGCAACCUGCCUGAAAGUUCGGGAUAACUCCGGGAAACCGGGGCUAAUACCGGAUGAGCCUGUCGACCGCCUGGUCGACGGGGAAAAGCGGGGAUUUUUCCUCGCGCUUUCAGAUGGGCCCGCGGCGCAUUAGUUAGUUGGAGAGGUAAGAGCUCCCCAAGGCAGCGAUGCGUAGCCGACCUGAGAGGGUGAUCGGCCACACUGGGACUGAGACACGGCCCAGACUCCUACGGGAGGCAGCAGUAGGGAAUCAUCCGCAAUGGGCGAAAGCCUGACGGUGCAACGCCGCGUGAGUGAAGAAGGUUUUCGGAUCGUAAAGCUCUGUUAUCCGAGAAGAACAAGGACCGGUCGAACAGGCCGGUUCCAUGACGGUACCGGAUCAGAAAGCCCCGGCUAACUACGUGCCAGCAGCCGCGGUAAUACGUAGGGGGCAAGCGUUGUCCGGAAUUAUUGGGCGUAAAGGGCGCGCAGGCGGUUUCCUAAGUCUGAUGUGAAAGGCCACGGCUCAACCGUGGAAUGGCAUUGGAAACUGGGGAACUUGAGUACAGGAGAGGAAAGCGGAAUUCCACGUGUAGCGGUGAAAUGCGUAGAGAUGUGGAGGAACACCAGUGGCGAAGGCGGCUUUCUGGCCUGUAACUGACGCUGAGGCGCGAAAGCGUGGGGAGCGAACAGGAUUAGAUACCCUGGUAGUCCACGCCGUAAACGUGAGUGCUAGGUGGUUAGGGGUUUCGAUGCCCUUAGUGCCGAAGCAAACGCAUUAAGCACUCCGCCUGGGGAGUACGACCGCAAGGUUGAACUCAAGGAAUUGAC
rnacentral:rRNA from 1 species